rnacentral:rRNA from 1 species
UACGGAGGGCGCAAGCGUUACUCGGAAUCACUGGGCGUAAAGAGCGUGUAGGCGGGUUAAUAAGUUUGAAGUGAAAUCCUAUGGCUCAACCAUAGAACUGCUUUGAAAACUGUUAAUCUAGAGUAUGGGAGAGGUAGAUGGAAUUUCUGGUGUAGGGGUAAAAUCCGUAGAGAUCAGAAGGAAUACCGAUUGCGAAGGCGAUCUACUGGAACACUACUGACACUGAGACGCGAAAGCGUGGGGAGCAAACAGG